rnacentral:rRNA from 1 species
CGUGAGAUGUUGGGUUAAGUCCCGCAACGAGCGCAACCCUUGUCUGCUGUUGCCAUCAGGUUAAGCUGGGCACUCUGCGGAGACUGCCGGUGACAAACCGGAGGAAGGUGGGGAUGACGUCAAGUCCGCAUGGCCUUUAUGUCCAGGGCCACACACGUGCUACAAUGGGCGGUACAAACCGUUGCGAUCCCGCGAGGGGGAGCUAAUCGGAGAAAGCCGCUCUCAGUUCGGAUUGCAGGCUGCAACUCGCCUGCA